UACAUGGGGUGCAAACGUUGCUCGGAAUCAUUGGGCGUAAAGCGCGCGUAGGCGGUUACUUAUGUCGGAUGUGAAAGCCCUCGGCUUAACUGAGGAAGUGCAUUCGAAACUGGGUAGCUAGAGUACUAAAGAGGGUCGCGGAAUUCCCGGUGUAGAGGUGAAAUUCGUAGAUAUCAGGAGGAACACCGAUGGCGAAGGCAGGUCUCUGGGCCACUACUGACGCUGAGAAGCGAAAGCAUGGGGAGCGAACAGG
rnacentral:rRNA from 1 species